UACAGAGGUCUCAAGCGUUGUUCGGAUUCAUUGGGCGUAAAGGGUGUGUAGGUGGCGCGCUAAGUCAGGUGUGAAAUUUCGGAGCUUAACUCCGAAACUGCAUUUGAUACUGGCGUGCUUGAGGACUGGAGAGGAGACUGGAAUUCAUGGUGUAGCAGUGAAAUGCGUAGAGAUCAUGAGGAAGACCAGUGGCGAAGGCGGGUCUCUGGACAGUUCCUGACACUGAGGCACGAAGGCCAGGGGAGCAAACGGG
rnacentral:rRNA from 1 species